AAACUUACCUGGCAGGAGAUAACAUGAUCACGAAGGUGAUUUUCCCAGGGCAAGGCUCAUCCAUUGCCUCUGGAUGUGUCCUGUGUCCCUGUGAUUCCACCAAAUGCAGGAAACUUGGCUGUACAAUCUGUGCUCUGGGGGACUAUGUUACCACUUUCCUCUG
rfam:Tupaia chinensis contig101583, whole genome shotgun sequence.